AGUGGCGGCGGGCCCGCGCGGUGCCGGCGACUAGCAGCGAGAUGUCCUGGCCCCUUCCAGGUUUGGAGAUGGCCUUGGGAGAGCAACCUCCGGACCUCAGCAGUGUGAGGAUGACAACAGUACCCUGUGGUGCUGUCCCCACUCAGGUUGGCUGCCAUCCCUGCUGAUGGAGAGAGGCUGAAGUCUGUCUGAGAAGAUAGUGCAGGCAGCUACUUAGCUGGUACUAAUUGUAUUUGCAGAGUAGGGGGUUUCUCUCUGUAGCCCCGACUGUCCUGGAACUCACUCUGCAGACCAGGCUGUCCUCAAGCUCAGAGAUCUACCUGCCUCUGCCUCUGAAGUACUGGGAUUAAAGAUGCAGAGGCCUCCCAGAGAAGUGUGAAGGAAUGGGCCUUAACCAGGGUUGAAGAAAGAAAGUGAAGAAGGGGAGAGCCCAAGGAAAGGUGGGGACAGUUGGAACUUUUGUUUACACUGGUCUACUACUCAUGUAUCGUAUGCUAUAAUCUCCAAAUUCCACAUUUAUUGUAGCUGUCUGCAGUGUGUAUGCCCCGGCCGCAUGCUGCUUGGCUAAAAAAGUGUUAAAUAAAACUGUAAGAAACGCU
rnacentral:lncRNA from 1 species